UGUAAUUUUUUUUUCUUUUUUACUGUGUAUCGUUCGUCACAUAUCAGUGUCUAUAUUUAUGGUGGAACUGAAGAUUUCUUUGCGUUGUAUCAUAAAAUGAUGUUAGCGUUUAGGAAACAAAGUUAAUGGCUAAAUGCUGGUGAACAAGUCGUCGUCAAGCCAGUUUCGAGUUUAAGCGCCGCAGUGGUUGCUGGGUAAGUUCAAAGGUCAACGUAUUCCCAGGAUCAUGGCAGCAAAUUACGAACAAGUCUGCCUGUGGAAACGGGAACGAUUACAGCAGUUUCUUCGUGAAAGGGGUUUACCAGUCACGGGGACAGUGGAGGAGCUUCGAGUUUUAGUGUAUGGUGCUCAGUUCUUCAGUAUACCGGUAAAACCCGCGGCAAAAGAGGAGAACCAACUCCGAACAGAUCACUAUCGGAGUUUACUAACAGUCGAUGGCGUCGUCUUACCCGAUCCAUUCACCGACCUCCCGCACGGCUGGCAAGGAGAGGAGAAAGGAAUCCAUCACUGGCCACCGUGCAUGUUCUACGACAUGUCGGAAUAUCUCAUCAGUAGAGUGGAGAGGGACCUACAGACCAGGCUCCUUACAGACUACAAAGAAGGAAAAGCUUACUCAUACUUCGAUUCAAAGUGGUUGAAGGAAGUGUAUUACCAUCCAAUCUCUGACAAUUCUGUGUACUGCUUUUUAAAAGCAGACUACACCCCUUCUAUGAACAUACGCAGCCUUCCACACAGAGUUUGGGUGUGUAUCAUUAAGAAGACAGGGAAGGUCGUCAGUAGCUACUGCACUUGCUUUGCAGGCCUUGGUUCUACAUGCAACCAUGUGGCAGCUGUGUUAUUCAAGCUGGAUUACGCAUGGCAGAAUGGACACACCAACAAAGCCUGCAGUUCCCUGCCAGCCCAGUCAAUAGUACCAACUAAUGGCAAGAAAAUCGUGGAACUGAAAAAAAUCAACGACAUGGAAUGGCGCAAGCCAAAUUAUAAUAAACAAGUUAAAACAGCCACCAUCAAUCCUGUUGAGAGACAGAAAUUUUGCCCUGUUAAAAAGGAAGCCUACACACCCACCCUUGAGGGGCUUAUGGGGGCAAUCCACUUGAGUUGUCCUAGGGCAAGUGUAUUUGAAUAUGCUGCUGCUGACACCACUGCAAGCUAUCCAGUAGAGCAUGACAUCAAUGUGGAAAUGGAGGUGGAGACAACAACAACUGCACCUCCUAUGAAGGUGUAUGUGCAGUGUCAUGGGGGGCUGUCCACAUUUACACUAGAAAGAGGCUGCAACAUAUAUCUUCACAGACUUCAUCCUUCCAGCAAUGCGGCAAACCCCACACAGAUUAAACAGUGACAGUGAGGAUGGCGCUCCAGUUACCAAGGUUAUGUCUACAUGUUCAGUGCCUACAGUAACUACAUCUUCAACUGUUUUGUCCAAACCCACACUCUUUGUACAAUACCAACCACCCACGAUUCGGAAGAAAACGUCCAAAAUACAAAAGACAAUAAAAAUCAAGAAGAUGCCCCCCAUCCAUGUUUGCCAGAUACGUAAAGAACAGUGCAAAGAAAAAGACUCCAUCACAAAAUCUGUGGACUAGUGUUGGCUGUAACAAAUGUUUUCAGUGGUUUCACUGGGAUUGUGUUAAUUUUGACAAUGAAGGGGACACAUCUCGGUGGAUGUACUUUGAUUGCCAGUCAACUGAACUGUAACUGUAAGAACUGUAUUAUAAUUAACCAUAAGACUCUGCUUGCCCACUCACCCGUUGUUGUCUUCUGCUUUCACAGAAAUGCCCAUGUGCAGCUAUAAUAUUCAGUUCUAAUAUGUACAUUGCUCAUUACAAUGAAGGUGUGCAGAUGACCAGUCAAAUCUUC